GUCACGAUGAGAAGAAAGAGAGCCAAGAAUGGGCGCAGUACGUCGUUGAAGAUGACUCUAAAUCAAGUGCUGCGGGAAGAGUAUCGUGCACCAUUCAUCGAUCAGGUCACAUACUGGUGCCUUUCGGCCACAAUGAUUACGACUCUGGCGUCAUUACUGUUUUUGUUCAAAGCAAACAAAGCCUUUGACGAUGAAAAUGUUCGAUUUUUUAAAGGUGAAUCCGAUGAAUACACGAAUGAUCAAUUCAAUAAAUACGUGAAUGGUGUAAUUGGUGAAUGUUUCACCUCGGUAUUACAAGAAAAUUACCACAAAUUACCGCUUGCAUUUCGACGAACUGUGGAGCAAGCAUGUCCUGAUUUUCUUCGUCCAGAAAAUUGGCCAGCUUGCGAGGGCAUGGGAAACGCAUUCAAUCAUCUCAUCACUCAGUACAUAACAAACGUGAAAAAUAACAUCAAAGUAUGGGCAUUCAGUCGCAUCAAGAAAUUUUUCACACUAAAGCGCUACGAACUGAAUUUGAAUCGACAAGGAAAUCUCAUCACUGAAUUGGAUGUAAAACGUGCGACGAAGAUCGUAAUGUUCCAAAGUAGAGUCGAGAGAAACGCGAACAUCGAUCUUCUAUUAAACGAAGCAGCAGGCAUUGGAUUGCCAAUCAAUGUACACUUUCAGAAUCUCAUUCGUGAUCGCUGGUUCCAAACCAUUCCAAUAUUUAUAAACAUUCAGCGACAAAUUUUCGAUUUUCACGCGAAAUAUGAAAUGUUGAAACAACGCUGGUUCCAAUAUCGACGCGAUCCGAACAACAAUGUCAUGCCGACCACUCCACUCCCGCCAAAAAUAAAGAAUUUUUUAGUAGUUCCAGUCCACGAUUUCGAUAUGAAACAUAUCCGCAUCGAUAUCCAUCUUUUUUAUUUGAUUGCGCGCAAAUUUGGAGCAUUGAAAUUGGCAAAAGGAAAACGCGGUCAGCUAAUAAACAUUGAAAAAACUGAAUACGAUAGCAAUCCAGCUUUCUAUUGGAAUUUAAUAUUUGACAUGCCAAAAAUUUCGAAACUUGGAAAUGGUAAGGAAUUCGAUUUUGCUGUGGCAACCGAUAGUGUGGCAGUUUCGUUAUGUUUCGUGAAGCCUGAACGCAAUACACCAGAACUUGAUAACAACACCAUCAAAGAGAAGUACAAUAAUUUUGAGUUUGAUUAUGUGCUUGGAAUCGAUCCAGGAGUUCGUACAUGGAACGCUACCGUUCGCAAACACGUUCGAUCCGGCAACGAGGAAAACAUCACAAUUGAUGGUCCAAAAUACCAUUUCAAAGCGAAAUAUGGCAAACGCAAGCGUAAAUCCGAUCAAUGGACUGAAUUGUUGCAAAAACAACGGGAGCUCGACUAUAAACGCUAUGCAUUUUUUCCAUCGCCGAAAGGACGUUCACAUUGGAUGUGUUACAUCGCUUAUUAUGUGAAAAUGAUGAAACCAGCUAUGGCGGUGUACACAACAAGAAAGUUUAUUCGACUCCGUCUUGAUAAAUACAUCGGAGAGAAUCGGGCCAGUGACAAAAUCGCGGCAUCACUGACGAAAAAAAAGUCGGCGCUCGUUUUUAUUGGUGCAGCUCAAAUAGCUCCAAACUCACCAAUUGGUAUUAAAAAGCGAUUGCGAUGCCCGGGAUUACGACGACUAUUGAACAGUUUCAAGAAGUUGGGAAAUUGUAUUGUACGAUUGGUCGACGAAUACAAUACAUCGCAAACUUGUGCAAAAUGUUUCCGGCCAUUCGAUCGACGAACCAAAAGCGAUCGAUACAAAGUUUGUCAGCAUUGUAUUCCAAGUGAAGAUGAGUCAUCGCAAUGGAAUUAACCGAACGUGAUUAUCACCAUGAAAAGCAACCGAGUGUACCAACAAUUGCGUAAAUAUGCAGUUGAUUUUGUUAAUCGAUUGAAUGCAGCCAACCCAGAUCAUAUUCCAAUGGAUUCAGAUGGUUUAGUGUCAAAACUUCAAGUAUGUUUCAAAAACUGGCAACUAAACACUGGCAUUUGGAAAGAUGAUCGAGCUCCAUUUCAAUUGAAAACUGUUUGGCACCGGGAUAUCGUUGCAGCCAAGAACAUCAUGUACAAAGCUGACGAUGAGGAUUCCAGUGACGAUGAGGACUACGUUUAUGUUCUCGAUGUUUCCGAUGACGACCAGUUUUAAUUACAUGUAGCAUUAAGAUUUCUUUUUAAAUAAUAUUAUUGUAACGUUUUGUUACUAUGCUGGGCUUGAGUUUUGUGGCCUUGACCGAAGUACGGGCAGUUCGGUAUAUAAAAUAACCCGUAGUUUCCACUUUCCGCACUCUACUUCAUGAUCACUAGGGUGCCUCGUUUUUUAGUUUUGGGAGUGAUUCGAUUUUUAUUUUCGAAGAGCCGACCAUUCACUCAACGACCAAAUCGAAUUUGUAAUCUGAAUUCACUUUAGCGCUAUCUCAACACUGAUCACAGAUGAAUUAAACAGGCCCUCGCCAAAGUCAUACAACCGCAAUAACGCGACAUUAUUAUUGCAAUAAUUUCAAAUUUAUCCAUGAAAGCGACGAAGAUUUCGUGCCUGGCAGACAGGCCAGACCGUGGUUGAGAUGUCAAAUCACAAAUGUCAUUAGUUGUCC